rnacentral:lncRNA from 1 species
CGGCCUUUGUCUCUAGCUGCAGCCGGCGUUUCAGGUCUCGUCUUCACUGGUCUGUGUCCUAUUCUCCUGGAGGCCCAGCCUCUGUGGCCCUGUGACCUGCAGGUAUUGGGAGAUCCACAGCUAAAACCCCAGGACACCCUGGAAGCAUAGAAAUGGUGAGAGUGCCCGGCCGACAUCCCGAGACAGGAAGAGGGGCAGGGUGGAACUGGUGGGAAGUGACUGUGGCGGGACUCAGGCCUCUUCGCAGUCAGCUCCACAAUGUGCGCCCCAAGUUCUCCUUGCCCAGGUUGGCCUCAGCCCCCUUCAGCCUUAAGAUGGCGACUGCGCUGACAGCCGGGCCGCCAGGCCUCCUGUCUCUUCCUCUCGCAGUGACUGUGCCAUGGCCUGGAGCCCUUUCUAGGCAGCUCUGCAGCGGCAGCGCCGCGUUUCUCCCAGAUUUUGCAGGGACCAUGGGAGGGUCGUCAGGGGAGAAUCCUGACUCGGGAUGUGGGUUCAUGAAUGGGAAGAGCUUUGGUCCGUGGGGUUCACAGUUUCUCUUUUCUGUUAUUAAAAAUGUGUGGAAUCCGGGAGGUGGAGCUUGCAUUGAGCCGAGAUUGCACCACCACUCCAGCCUGGGCGACAGAGGGAGACUCCGUCUCAAAGAAAAAAAAAAAGUAUGGUGCCAGGUACGAAAUGCCAGUAAUCCCAACACUUUGGGAGGCUGAGAAGGGCUGAUCACUUGAGGUCAGGAGUUGAAGACCAGCCUGGGCAAAAUGGGGAAACCCCAUCUCUACAAA